AUUACAUUAUGUAAGGACCAUGCUUUGUGUUAAAAAUAAGAAGUAGGGGGAAGAGUUUCAAGUGGGCGUCUGCUGUAAGGACCAAGGGUGUUUUAUUCUUUUUAAAAGGAAAAAGUGGUGGGGAAGGGGAGCACGUCCGUGAGUGGUAAGAAGUGAGGCGGCUGCACGUUUCUGGAAGUGGGAGACGGCUAUCUAACAGCAGAUGGUGCAGCUGGUGGAUGGUGGGUCUUCCCACUUUGAAGUGCUCCAACCACCAAGAGGAAUCAUCAUCAUUUUCUUAAUGGGCACAACACUAAGGGAAGGAAAGGGAGAAGCUGGGGAGUGCACGGGUUCUACUUCUUAAGGGGAAGAGUUGGUAGAUUCAAGGGGUUGGGAGGAUCCUUACGGAUUGGAAGAGUUGCUGCAAAAUAGUGAGAGGGUGAAAAUCGGAGCUGUUGAAGGACAAGGAGGCCUCGGAUUUGCAAGCCUUGAGAAGACUGAUUCAAGAAGAGUGUUGGUGCUGCAUCUUGAGGAGUUAGAAAGAUUGCUGCAUCCAGUGGUGAGGCAGAGAACGUUUGGAAGUACUACAUUCAAGUUUGGCUAGGAGGUCUUCAAGAGAUGUUGUCGCGGAGUUUCCCUUGGAUCAAGAGCUAGAGGUUGCGGAUAUUGUGGGGUAGUCUUCUUAGAAUUUAUUGAUUGAACACUUGUAGUGUUUAAUCCUUUCAACUGUUCAAGUUUAAAUUUUCAGUUUCUUUUAUUUAUGGAUGACUGUAAUUUCACAUUUAAUUACACGUCAUACUCCGACUGUUCUCUAUAUUUGGAUGUUAACGUCUUUAUUAUAUAAUAUUGGUUAUUAUAUA
rnacentral:sRNA from 1 species